AACUGCUGGGUGAUUUUCUAUCUCGGGUGUCAUGGACUCGCGAUUUCCAACCGUAUAAAUCUAUUAUGGGUUUCUGACCAUCUUUUGGCAUCGGCUAUCUCGGUCAUGAUCACUAAACGAAUAGUGGGUAUGAGAUUUAUCGAUACACUAGAGGUUGCAAAAUUUUUGUGAAAAUAUUCUGUGAUUUGGUUAGCCGACUAAAUGAAAACUUCAUUUCACUUCAAACUACGACUACUGUAUUUAUCAAAUCUUUAAUUUGCCGCAUUAUUUAGAAAAAUGGCGAUACUGGAAGCUAUUGUCAAAUGAUUGUCAAAACAAACUACAAGGAACCAUCCAAAACAGAGAUUGAUUUUGGUGUGUGUUUUUUUUUAUAAUUACCUGAAUCCUGUGUUUUAAUUGUUCAUUAUAUCAAAGGAUGGCGCCUUUAAGAAAAGUCUCAGAUCGACAAAUGGACAUUUUGUUGGAGUUCGUUGAAAGACAUAAAGACCUUGCUGUUGGCCGGUACCCUCCCGGCCCACUAGGCAUACAAUCAGCACGUUGGCUAUGGGACAGUGCAGCAUUACAAUUAUAUGAAUUAUAUUCAAUUGGGUCUGGAGUUACAAAAACUGGUCAAAAAU